CUCAGAUUCCCAUGGUUAAAAGCAACAGCGGCGAUGCGCCAAAAGUCGAAGCCCUUCAAGAAGAAGUGCCACAAAUGCUGAGGAUCUACAAGCUUCUCCCGCACCUUGCAGCUCUUCUGAAACUCUCGGACGCAGGCUGAGGUCCACACCAGGCUGCGGCAGACUGGAGCCAUGUGUGACAGCACCUGGCCUCCACAUCACCUCAGGCCCAGACGGGAGGCAGGCCUGCAUGUCAAUCUCAGGCCCAGACGGGAGGCAGGCCUGCAUGUCAAUCUCAGGCCCCAUUUGGAGAAGAAGUGCACCUGGCUGUCGCUAAUGAAUUUUCUUGCAAUUAAUUCAUUAAUUCUGUUUGUGUGAUCUGGCGUGGACUCACUCAUCACAACCUCAGGAUUCGGUCCAUGCGUACCAGUCAGCAGGGAGUUGGGAUGACAUGCUCAAAGAUUCCCUGGUAUUCUGAUGUUCCUUUAACAAACAGACAGAGGUACUUCUGUAUCCCCAUUAAGGAGCUCAAUACUAUUAAAAAGUGAUCUUCCUGA